GGCCCCAUGGUGUAACGGUCAGCAGCACUCAGGGAUUUGAAUCCUGUAAGCUGAGUUCAAAUCUCAGUGGGACCU
rnacentral:tRNA from 1 species